rnacentral:lncRNA from 1 species
UCCAUUGGAUGAAGACACAUAUGGCUUCAUCUCCUUAACUGAAGCAUCCAAUCCUAGACAAUAAUUUGAAUUCACUAGCCUGCGGCGCAUUUAAUGUUCCUAUAGAUAGUAGCCACCCUGAAACCUAAUCUGACAAGACCUUAACAUUUUACUCAUUACAAAGGUCCCAUCAAUCAUUCCAAAAAGAUCAUACAUAAAUUCAAGAUCUUCACGUAUGGGUCGUCACUUGAGCUUCGAUUUUAAUCACUAUCAAGCUUUAUCCCUUUGGUAGGAAGACUUCGAGGCUUCAUCAAUAACAUAAGACUGCUUCGGUAAUUAUGGCUUCGACACUUCAGAUUUG